AUCGAGCUGACUAGUCCCAAACAGGACGAAACGCGCAUCCUGGAU
rnacentral:hammerhead_ribozyme from 1 species